CAAUCAUGCAAGGUCGAGCGGACAGAUGGGAGCUUGCUCCCUGAUGUUAGCGGCGGACGGGUGAGUAACACGUUGGGUAACCUGCCUGUAAGACUGGGAUAACUCCGGGAAACCGGGGCUAAUACCGGAUGCUUGUUUGAACCGCAUGGUUCAAACAUAAAAGGUGGCUUCGGCUACCACUUACAGAUGGACCCGCGGCGCAUUAGCUAGUUGGUGAGGUAACGGCUCACCAAGGCAACGAUGCGUAGCCGACCUGAGAGGGUGAUCGGCCACACUGGGACUGAGACACGGCCCAUACUCCUACGGGAGGCAGCAGUAGGGAAUCUUCCGCAAUGGACGAAAGUCUGACGGAGCAACGCCNCGUGANUGAUGAAGGUUUUC
rnacentral:rRNA from 1 species